GCUUUGUACUUAAGCGAUGAAAUGCGAUUCCUUAUCACUUUGUCUACUGUCUUGCCCAUAGCUUCUGCUGUCAUCCAACUAGUGUGGUGCCUCCGCGCAUUCCGUUCCCUCCAGAUAUGAUAAAUAGUUGUUUGAAACAACAUUUUGAUAAGAAUAGUAUCCAUUGACCCAUCUCGGAGCCCCUCCAUGUGGUCUAGUGUGAGCUGCCA
rnacentral:lncRNA from 1 species